AUUGAACGCUGGCGGCAUGCUUUACACAUGCAAGUCGAGCGGCAGCGCGGGGGCAACCCUGGCGGCGAGCGGCGAACGGGUGAGUAAUGCAUCGGAACGUACCCUGGAGUGGGGGAUAACGCCGCGAAAGCGGCGCUAAUACCGCAUAUGCUCUGAGGAGGAAAGUGGGGGACCGCAAGGCCUCACGCUCUGGGAGCGGCCGAUGUCCGAUUAGCUAGUUGGUGGGGUAAAGCUUACCAAGGCGACGAUCGGUAGCUGGUCUGAGAGGAUGAUCAGCCACACUGGGACUGAGACACGGCCCAGACUCCUACGGGAGGCAGCAGUGGGGAAUUUUGGACAAUGGGGGCAACCCUGAUCCAGCCAUGCCGCGUGAGUGAAGAAGGCCUUCGGGUUGUAAA
rnacentral:rRNA from 1 species